rnacentral:rRNA from 1 species
UGCAGUCGNACGCUUGCUUUNNGCANCGGAGCUUGCUCCACCGGAAAAAGAGGAGUGGCGAACGGGUGAGUAACACGUGGGUAACCUGCCCAUCAGAAGGGGAUAACACUUGGAAACAGGUGCUAAUACCGUAUAACAAUCGAAACCGCAUGGUUUUGAUUUGAAAGGCGCUUUCGGGUGUCGCUGAUGGAUGGACCCGCGGUGCAUUAGCUAGUUGGUGAGGUAACGGCUCACCAAGGCGACGAUGCAUAGCCGACCUGAGAGGGUGAUCGGCCACAUUGGGACUGAGACACGGCCCAAACUCCUACGGGAGGCAGCAGUAGGGAAUCUUCGGCAAUGGACGAAAGUCUGACCGAGCAACGCCGCGUGAGUGAAGAAGGUUUUCGGAUCGUAAAACUCUGUUGUUAGAGAAGAACAAGGAUGAGAGUAACUGUUCAUCCCUUGACGGUAUCUAACCAGAAAGCCACGGCUAACUACGUGCCAGCAGCCGCGGUAAUACGUAGGUGGCAAGCGUUGUCCGGAUUUAUUGGGCGUAAAGCGAGCGCAGGCGGUUUCUUAAGUCUGAUGUGAAAGCCCCCGGCUCAACCGGGGAGGGUCAUUGGAAACUGGGAGACUUGAGUGCAGAAGAGGAGAGUGGAAUUCCAUGUGUAGCGGUGAAAUGCGUAGAUAUAUGGAGGAACACCAGUGGCGAAGGCGGCUCUCUGGUCUGUAACUGACGCUGAGGCUCGAAAGCGUGGGGAGCAAACAGGAUUAGAUACCCUGGUAGUCCACGCCGUAAACGAUGAGUGCUAAGUGUUGGAGGGUUUCCGCCCUUCAGUGCUGCAGCUAACGCAUUAAGCACUCCGCCUGGGGGAGUACGNCCCGCAAGGUUGANACUNCAAAGGAAUUGANCGGNGGCC